GAUGAACGCUGACAGCAUGCUUAACACAUGCAAGUCAACUGUGGCGGACGGGUGAGUAACGCGUAAAGAACUUGCCUCACAGUUAGGGACAACCUUUGGAAACGAAUUCUAAUACCUGAUACUGUGAGAGAGCUUUGCGUCCCAUUAGCUAGUUGGAGAGGUAACGGCUCACCAAGGCGAGGAUGGGUAGCCGGCCUGAGAGGGUGAUCGGCCACAAGGGGAUAGAGACACGGCCCUUACUCCUACGGGAGGCAGCAGUGGGGAAGAGUGGACAAUGGACCAAAGUCUGAGCCAGCAAUUCGGUGUGCACGAUGAAGUUUUCGGAAUGUAAAGUGUUUUCAGUUGGGACGCGGUACCAACAGAAGAAGCGACGGCUAACUCCGUGCCAGCAGCCGCGGUAAUAC
rnacentral:rRNA from 1 species